UACAGAGGUCUCAAGCGUUGUUCGGAUUCAUUGGGCGUAAAGGGGGCGUAGGUGGCGUGGUAAGUCUGGUGUGAAAUCCCGGGGCUCAACCCCGGAACUGCACUGGAUACUGCCAUGCUUGAGUACUGGAGAGGAGAUUGGAAUUUACGGUGUAGCGGUGAAAUGCGUAGAUAUCGUAAGGAAGACCAGUGGCGAAGGCGGGUCUCUGGACAGUUCCUGACGCUGAGGCACGAAGGUCAGGGGAGCAAACGGG
rnacentral:rRNA from 1 species